rnacentral:pre_miRNA from 1 species
GAGCUACUCCCUCCGUUCCAAAUUACUCGUCUCAGAAAUGGAUGUAUUUAGAACUAAAAUACAUCUAGAUACAUCCAUUUCUGCGACGAGUAAUUCGGAACGGAGGGAGUACUUU